UCUUAAACGGUAACCCUCUAAAAGGAAGCACUUUCUUUUCUUUCAGACAACAGAAAGCGCUUCCCUGUAGAGGGACACAGCCUGACA
rnacentral:pre_miRNA from 2 species